rnacentral:lncRNA from 1 species
CCUGCUCCUACUGCCAUCCUCGACUCUCAAAGCUCAACAAAUAAUCCAUCAAUUGAAGAAAGAUGGACUGCAGUAGCGUUCAACAAAAAGAAAGGUAAAAAAGGAUCCUUAUUCCAUCAACCUCACCAUAAGGAGGUAAGUAAUCUCCACAUGAAUACUCCAAUCAACAACAAGGAGGGCAUUAACGUCAAAAUCUUUAGCGCGGAUACAGGUAAGUACCUUGAUCAGCAAAUUUUUAAAUAUGUGGAAAAAUCAUGCCAUGCUUCUCCCUCAAAAUCUUUACACUUAGAUUCGAACUCAACUCUAUCUAACAAAAUUCAUCCUUAUCUGCCCUCAAAACUUAAUCAAAAGCUCCUUACACUUUCGACGCCAGUGCAACAGGGACAUAGGGAACUUUAUGUUAAUCAUGAAUCCGUCUGUGGUAAAACAGAAUUCCCUCUUGAACAACUCCUCAAGGGAAAUUCACCUAAUAAACCCCCCUCAACUCAACCAAUCAAUGAAUCUAAUAAUUUGGAAUUGUAGAGGCGCAAACGGUUCCGAAUUUAGGAGGAACUUUCGGUCGUUAGUUGAUUGGCAUAAACUCCCUCUUGUUGCUCUCCUGUAAACAAAAAUGCAGGACCACUUGGUCCUUCUUAAUGAGUUUCCUUUCAAUAGAGUGAAUGAAGUACCAGCGGUAGGUAAUGCUGGGGGACUGGCCGUUCUUUGGGAUGACUCAAUCCUUGAGCUAUCACAUGUGGCUACUACUAAUCAAGAAAUACAUGUCAUCGUGAAGGUAAGAGUCUUAAAUGAUACUUGGAUAUUUAGUAAUAUUUAUGCAAGUACUUAUAGAUGGAAAAAGAAAAUAUUAUGGCAGAUUAAAAACAGCUACUUAGGUAAAUGCUUAUAGGGGGAGACUUUAAUGAUCUUCUGACUAGCUCGGAAAAAAAAUGAGGUAAGGCUUUGAAUUAGUCUCGUGCUUCGAACUUCUUAGAUAUGAUAAAUCAUUGCGAAUUCAUAGAUUUGGGUUUUAAAGGCAAUAGAUUUACUUGGCUAAACAAGCGUUUUAAGAAAAGUAACGCCUUAAUUUUUGAAUCCCUUGACAGAUUUUUUGCUAAUAAUGACUGGAUAAUAAAAUUUUCGGAUGCGCACGUGAGACAUCUCCCCCGUACGCAUUCAGACCACUGUCCGUUAUUACUCCAUAUUUAUAAGGAUGACCCCACCCUCCGCAAAAAAAUGUUCUGUUUCGAAACUAUGUUAACGUCACAUCCUGAUUUUCCCUCCUUCAUCCAAAAUGCAUGGGCCAAUAGCUCAUCACUCUCCCAUGCAAUUGAAAAUUUCAAAGACAAUGCAAUACCCUGGGCCAAGGAGCAGUUCGGUAACAUUUUUAGAAGAAAAGAUAGAAUACUUAAAAGGCUCCAGGGUAUACAAAACUCCCCUAGCUAUUUCCGUAGUUCUUUUCUCCAAAAUUUAGAACAUCAGUUGAUAAAUGAGUUUAAUAUGAUUCUUAAGAUGGAGGAGGAUUAUUGGAAGCUGAAAUCGCCCAUUAACUGGUUAAAUAAUGAUGAUGCCAACACAAAAUUCUUUCACAUGUCCACUCUCAUUAGACACUGAAAAAACUGUAUUGUCAGCCUUACUCUUGAAGAUAACUCGGUUAUCCAUAAUCAAUGCAACUCGGUUAUCCAUGAUCAAUCUAUUAUUAUUAAUCAAACAAAAAUCUUCUUUCAAAAACUCUUCACCACUUCUCAUCACAAGUCCCUCCUCAUUCAAGUACCUGUAAGUAAAGUUUGUAUUAGCAGCAUGGAUAGAGAGGACCUGGCGAGGGAACCUACUAAAAAAGAACCAACCUACUGAAAAAGAAAUCAAAGAUGUUUUCUUUUUCUUUCAACCGUAUAAAACGCCUGAUCCAGAUGGCUUACGCCAUUUCUUCUUCCAACGUUAUUGGGACAUUGUGGGCAACUCAAUUAUUAAGUUUUGUAAAGAAUUUUUUAUUAAGGUAACUAUUCCGGAUGAAGUGAACAAAACUCGUUUGCCUCAUUCCUAAAUGCAAUAAUGCUUCUAAUCUGAAACAAUACAAACCCAUCAGCUUGUGCAAUUCUUCUUACAAAAUUAUAACCAAGCUUGUUGCCAAAAGACUGCGCCCAAUCAUCAACAAGAUAAUUGGGCCCUGCCAGUCUAGCUUCCUAAAGAACAGACAAGCCGCAGACAAUGCCAUUAGCGUCCAAGAAAUUAUCAGGCAUUUUAGUAAAAUGAAGGGUAAAAAAGGAUACUUCAUCAUGAAAAUUGACUUGAAAAGACUUUUGACAAAAUCGAAUGGUCUUUUGUCAAACAUACCCUAGUAUACUUUAAUUUUCCUCCAAAUAUGAUCAAUCUAAUCAUGUCGUGUAUCAGAUUCAGUUCAGUAGCAAUGCUAAUUAACGGUACACGAACUGGUUUUUUCAUUCCUUCUAGGGGUUUACGUCAAGGUGACCCUAUUUCCCCAUCCAUUUUUAUACUUUGCAUGGAAGUGCUCUCCCACAACAUAAACCAACAAGUAGAUCAGGGGCUUUGGACUCCGAUAAAAAUUACCAAGCGGGGCCCACCGCUAUCUCACCUCUUCUUUACGGAUGACCUCAUUCUUAUGACCGAAAGCAAUGCCCCCAGCUACGAAGCUAUAAAUACUACUCUCCAAAAUUUCUGCAACUGGUCCGGUCAAUCUAUUAACAAUCAAAAAUCAAAACUGGUUUUCUCAAAAAAUUGCUCGGCAUCCUCCGUUACAAGUAUAACCUCUUUAUUCAAUAUCAAAAGUUGCCAAAAUUUUGGAAAAUAUCUGGAGCUCCCUAUUUUUGACAAGAAACCCUUGAAUAGUGAUUUUAACUUUAUUAUCGAAAAUUUAAGGAAUAAGCUGGCGGGCUGAAAAACUAGGUUCCUCAAUCUUGCCGGAAGAACUACCCUGGCUAAGACUUGUCUAAAUAGUAUCCUUACUCAUGUUAUGACUUACAUCAAGCUUCCAAAAAAAAUUACUAAAAAAAUCGAUCAAAUCCAACGAAAUUUCAUUUAGGGCACCACAAACAAAAAGAAAAAGUUGCGCUUAUUAAAUUGGCAAACCAUUACUCUCCCUAAAGACUUGGGUAGUUUGGGAUUGCAAAGAAGCUGUCAUAAAAAUAUGGCUUUGUUAUGCAAACUAGCCUGGAAAACCUUUAAUGGCCAGCCCAAUCUCUGGACAAAUCUUGUCUUAAGUAAAUAUGGUCGAGAGAUCAGCAUUAAUCACACUGGUGGGACCAUAAAAAUCCCUAAGCUUAGUAGUUGAAGCCUGGAAAAUUUGAAAAAGUUGUCUCUCUUGGGACAUUGGCAACGGAAACAAGGUAAGCUUAUGGCACGAUAACUGGAUCCCAAAUUGUCAACCUCUGUCGCGCAUAAUUUAUACCCCCUUAUCCUUAAAGGAUGACAAGUUGACGGUUAGUAAUAUCAUUAAUAAUGGGGAAUGGGACCUUAAUAAGAUAGGUUAUGUCCUUCCUUUUGGAAAUAAAAUAUUUGCUCGCUAGAACUAUCAUACCCUCAGGCAGUAGUACCCAAGAUAAAUUGGCCUGGGCUCCAUCACACAAUGGUAUCUUUACCACGCGUUCUGCCUGUGACCAAAUUGCCUCAUACAAUAUCCACAUAAUUGAUGAGCAAAAGAAUUUCUCUUGGAUUUGGGCUUUGAACUGCCCGAACAAAAUCAAGAUUUUUUAUCUGGCUUUGCUGCCACUCUAGGCUCCCAACCAAAACAUACUUAAAAUAAAUUAGUCUAGAUGUUGACCCCCUGUGUAGGAUCUGUAGCAUCCCGGAAAUGUCAAAACAUAUCUUCUUGGAGUGUUGCCAUGUUAAGCAACUUUGGGAGAAUCUGAAUGUGGGUACCACUAUUGCAAACUUAGCCUCCGACCAUGAGGAUAACUGGUUAGACGGGUUAAAACUUCUAAAAAUUCCUUUCAAAAAUAACUCUAUAACCUGGAAACAGGCUUUUCCCUUCUACUUAUGGGUAAUUUGGCUCAAUCGUAAUCAUAAUCUUCUUCACGAAACUAUUUCUAGCAUACAUGUCAACACUCCCUACAAAAGAGCUAUGGAAUUUGUCUACUUAACUGACAAGUCAAUGAAGAUAAUGAAAUCGAAUGCUGCUAUAGAGCCAAGCAACAAUGGAAACCUCCUCAUUUGGGUUUUAAGCUGAAUGUUGAUGGAUCAUUCAAUACUAAAUCCAAAAAGGGAGGCGUUGGUGGUCUGAUCCGAAACUUGGGAUUGGUUGAUAGGUUUCAGUGCUUCUAUUAACGUUAACUCUGCCUCUGAAGCAGAAGCUUCAGCACUGCUCAUGGGCGUACGAGUGGCUGCAAAAAAUAGCUAUACUCAGCUCUUAGUUUCAAUUGAUUCGUUACAAUUCUGUAAAGAAAUUAAUGCUAGUUGCUCUAAUGAAAACAAUCUGAUUUGCCUUUGUAGGGAUCCACUACAGAAAAAGAGGAACCUGCAGAUUAUCCACGAAGAUAGAAGUGCAAAUGUUGUUGCUGACAUACUAGCGAAGGAGGGCCAUAAGUUGGUGCAGGGAGGUUUUUGUGAAGAAUGGAUAGUUCCACCCAUGUUUGUUCGACAUCAGUUGGAAGCAGACAACGCGGGAACUUCUUCUAUGGGGCACUGUAUGCCACUAUCUCCAGAUGGUUGUAAUUGUAUUAGCAGACAAAUAUGUAUGUGUAGUGUUAGGGUGGACCCUUCCCCAGUUAGAUCUUUGCCUUUGAAAUGUACUGAAGCUUUUAACUUUAGCUAGUAAUGAAUAAAUCUCCCUUUAUCACCAAAAAAAAAAAAAGAACACAAGGUAUUUAUUUUUUUGUCAAUUUUAAUAUUUAG